AUGGAGGCGGCGAUCGGCGUGGCCAACGGGCUCAUCGGCAGCGUGCUCAAUCUGCUGUCCAAUGAGCUCGUGGAGGCGUUUGUUGCCAGCUCCCAGCUCGGCCUCAACUACACGGAGAUGAAACGUGAUCUCUUGUUCACGCAAGGGCUACUGCAAGAGGCCCAGGCGAGGGGCAAGGAUGUGAGCGACAACCUCGGUCUGCGGGAGCUGCUGAAGGAGCUCAGCGCCAAAGCCGAUGAGGCUGAGGACGCGCUGGAUGAGCUCCACUACUUCAUCAUCCAGGACCAGCUCGAUGGCACCCACUAUGCGGUGCCGGACCUGGGUGAUGACCUCCGUGGCCAUGCUCGCCACGGUCGACAUGCCCUUCGCUACACCGUCGGUAACUGCUUUGCAUGCUUUUCUUGUUCGGGCAUGAAGGGUCAUGAUGAUGGUGUUGCUGCUCCUGUCAUUACUGAUAAUUCACCCAAUGCAAUACUGAACCCUGACAGUGAUGGUAAUGAUGGUCCAGUUGUUAAGUUGUCUUUCGACAGAGUUGCCAUGUCCAAAAAAAUCAAGUCAGCGUUAGAGGAAAUAAAAUCCCUGUGUGACCGUGUCUCCAAGUUGCUCCAGCUAAUUCCACCACAUAGCACCACCACCACAGUCACCCAAAGGCACCGUAUCACAGGGUCAACCAUUGUCCAAGAUACAUUGUAUGGGAGGAGAGCUAUUUUUGAGAAAACUGUAGAUGAUAUCCUCACUACUGCCACAGAGCAGUGUGAACCCCUUUCUGUUCUUCCUAUAGUUGGUCCGGGGGGUAUUGGAAAGACAACUUUCACCCAACACCUGUAUAAUGAUAGGAGGAUAGAAGAGCACUUUGCUGUUAGGGUUUGGGUAUGCGUAUCAACUGAUUUUGAUGAGCUUAGACUCAGCCAACAGGUCCUUAGUAGCAUAGAAGGAAGCAACUCUCCAAAUCAGACAACAAGCUUAGAUCAGCUCCAAAUAUCCAUAGCAAAGAAACUCAAGUCUAAAAGAUUUUUAAUUGUCUUUGAUGAUAUAUGGGAAUGCAAUACUGAGGGAUGGAAAAGAUUGUUAGCUCCAUUCAUGAAGGGGGAAGCCAAGGGCAACAUGGUUCUUGUCACAACUAGGUUUCCAACUAAAGCUGAAAUGGUGAAAACAACCAACCCAAUAGCACUCCAAGGUCUAGAGUCUGAUGACUUCUUCACAUUCUUUAAAUCAUUAAUAUUCGGGGUACACAAACAUGAGUAUUGCCAAGAGGAAUUAGAUGAUCUUGCAAGUGAUAUUGCACAUAAACUGAAGGGUUCACCUCUAGCAGCCAGAACAGUUGGUCGUUUACUGAGGAAGGACAUUUCUCGGGAACAUUGGAUUGGAGUUCUUGAAAACAAUGAGUGGCAAAAAGAGGACAAUGUUGAUGACAUUAUGCCAUCAUUAAGGAUUAGCUAUGAUUACCUUCCUUUUCAUCUAAAAAAAUGUUUUUCAUAUUUUUCCUUGUUCCCUGAAGAUUUUCAGUUUAAGAAGUUAGAUAUUACGUAUUUUUGGAUUGCACUAGGAAUCAUAGAAAGAGAUGAGAAUUAUCUAGAGGAACUCGUAGAGAUCGGUUUUCUCAUGAAGGAAGUUGAUGAUUCCGAGCAACCAUACUAUGUAAUGCAUGAUUUAUUACACGAGUUGUCUCGUAGUGUUUCAUCACAAGAGUGCCUCAACAUAUGUAGUUCAAAUUUUAGAGUUGAUGACAUCCCACAAACUGUUCGACACGUAUCUGUCACAAUGGAAGAUAGAUUUGAAGGGGGUGUUAGGGAAGAAAUGAUUAAAUUGAGGAGCAAGAUAGACAUUCGCAAUUUGCGAGCUUUGAUGAUUUUUAGGGAAUAUGAAGAAACAAUUGAUGGAUUUUUGAAAGAUAUUUUUAAGGAAAUAGAGGGUCUCCGUGUCCUGUUGAUAGUAAUGGACUCCAUGGAAAUAGAGGGUCUCCGUGUCCUAUCUUUGCCACUCAACUUUUCAAAGCUUAUCCACCUUCGAUACCUAAGGCUUACUCAUAACCUAAACAAUGUUGUGACAUGGCCAUACUUUUUACGAAAGCCAGUGAUUUUGCCUAACGCACUGUCAGUAUUUUAUCACUUGAAGUUCUUAGACCUCAGAGGCCUGAGUGAUACGGAGAAAAUACCUAAAGACCUUAACCGCCUUGUCAAUUUAUGCCGCUUCUAUGUUGAUAAUGAACUCAAUUCAAAUGUUCCUGGGGUCGGAAAGAUGAAAUGCUUGCAGGAGCUAAAAGAUUUCCAUGUUAAAAAAGAGAGUGUUGGGUUUGAACUGGCAGAGUUGGGGGAACUAACAGAGCUUGAAAGUGAACUCACAAUACAUAAUCUUGAGAAGGUGGUAAGCAAGAAAGAGGCUAUGGAAGCUAAGCUUGUGUGUAAAAGAGAUUUGACAAAGUUGGGGUUAGUUUGGGGUAUAGAUCACAAACAUAGCACAGAGUCUGAUGUUCUUGAUGCUCUUCAGCCACACCGUAAUCUUGGAGCACUUAGCAUUAUAAAUCAUGGUGGUAUGACUGGUCCUAGUUGGUUGUGUGGUGACAUUAGCAUCAAAAGGCUGGGGUCUCUCCACCUAGAGGGUGUCUCUUGGGGCACCCUUCCACCUUUUGGGCAGCUAUUGCAUCUCACAUCACUCACAUUGAUUAGGAUUUCUAUACUUCGUCAGAUCAGACCUGGCCUUGGUGGUGUUACAGAUGAAAGUUUUAUGCAUCUGAAGCGGAUCAUUCUUGAUAGAUUACCUGAAUUUAUCGAUUGGGUUGGGGGAGCUAAUUCCCAUUCUUUUUCAAGGCUUGAAUACAUCAGUUGCAGAGAUUGUCCCAAUCUUUGCGUGGUGCCCUUCCUUGAGUGCUCUAUCUCUUAUACCAGUCUUUCGCAUCUUUCCAUUGAUGAUUGCCCAAAGUUGUCUCUGCCCCCCAUGCCUCACACGUCCACGCUGACAUAUUGUCAUGUGUCACUUCCUCCUUCAAUGCUUGAAUAUUCUAGAAGGGCGAUGCUUAUUGAUGAGUAUAGUGGUGGGUGGGCCUUGCAUAACCUGCGUAAUGUAGAGGAAGUGAAUAUCCGGAAUGUAUCACACUUUUCAUUCACGGAGCUCAGUAAACAUAAAUCCCUAGCAAUGCUGAAUUUGUACAAAUGCAAUAUCAUGUGCCAUGGACUGCAGGAUCUCAUGUGCCUCCAAUCAGUUAGAGUAAAGUUUUGUCCCAACUUCUUUCGGUGGCCCAUCGAAGCAGCUCACACCAUUAAGCCUUUCCCUGCUUCCCUCCAGGAACUUGAGAUCGAAGGAGAGUCAGGCAUGCAGUCAAUGGCUCUCCUCUCCAACCUCACUUGCGUGACCAAUUUAAAACUGGUGGACUGUGAGAAUUUAACAGUGGUUGGGUUUAAUCCUCUCAUCAGAGUCAACCUUGAUAGGUUGGAGGUCUAUAACACAGAUAAGUGUCUUAGCCGCUCUAUAUCAGCGGAUCUGUUCUCGGAAUUGGCGGUAGCAAGGACCAACCUAUCAUUGCGUGCGGGAUCCUUCCGAUUGAGAUGGCUAGAAGUGGAUUGCAUCUCAUCGGUGCUUGUUGCUCCCAUCUGCACCCUCCUCGCUGCUACCCUCCAGAUUUUAAAAAUCAGGCAUGAUCAGCGGGCAGAAAGCUUCACGGGAGAUGAAGAGAGAGCUCUUCAGCUCCUCACCUCCCUUGAGUCCAUCUUUGUUAUGAAUUGCCCGAAUCUGCCGUCCCUUCCUCAGGGGUUAUACAUCCUUCCUUCUCUUCUGCGACUAUGUGUCUGUGAUUGUCCUCAAGUCCGAUCUCUGCCCAAGGACCCCUUCCCCACUUCACUGAAGACAUACGCAAGUGGUUGCAGGCCCGAGGUACAAGAGCAAUUAGAGGGAACAAUUUUCUCCUAUUUCAUGCUUCUUGAGUAA
rnacentral:rRNA from 1 species